rnacentral:tRNA from 1 species
GCCGGAGUGGCGGAAUAGGCAGACGCACAGGACUUAAAAUCCUGCGGAGGUUACACUCCGUAUCGGUUCGACUCCGAUCUUCGGCACUA